rnacentral:lncRNA from 1 species
UGGGUUGUAACACUACAACUCCCAUGAUUCAUAGUGUUUGUUGUCUUCCUGUUAGGCGGCCAGUUCAAGUUGCCAUAGCAGACGAUAGCGGUAUCACAAGUUGAUCAUCCGAAAAUUGUCUAACAACUGGGCAUUCGGGUAUAGUUUAAUGUACAUUAACGUUACGUGUCUUAUAGUUUAGCAGUUUUGUGAUUCGAUAGUCUACGCUGAGGCAGUACUUUUUAACUAUAAACAAAAAAACAAAUACAAAGCUAACUAACGUAGCUUGAUCUUGGUAAUUUAACAUUAACGUUAACUCUCUGUGGCAUGUUAAUGUUUACAGGAUCUUUAUUUCACUAGACUUCUAAUUAUCCAUCUUAAAUAUUUUUUUCAUAAUCUGGAGAAUUUAUACGCGUAACAUUAGUUAAGACAGAUAUAUAAUGCACGUUUUACGAAUGACAAAGGUGUUUAUUAUAUUUUUUAUAUACGUUAGCGUUGCUUAUUUCUAGCCCCUGAUUCAUGGCAGUAUGGACUCCUCCAGUGAAUCUGGCACAUAUAAUAGACCCAGAGGGCAUCGAUGGCGGGCUAGGGAAAGGUCAGACAGUGGGUUUCCAAGGGAUACACAUGUAUCAGACAUAUCGGUCAAAAUCGACACUUUAGCAAACACUCUCCAGGAUACAAGCCGAAAUCUAAACAAAGUGGAUCGGAUGUUGGAACAGUACAAGGAACACGCAGAUGAUCAAGUUGAAGCCAUGGCGACGCUGAGAGAGAGCUUAGAGGAGUCAGUCCAGCAUCUGCAGGGACAGCGUUUGAGGAAGUCUACCAGUGGGUGGAGAACUUCGAAUUCCAUACUGCAAACAAGUGACUUGGAGGAUGGCAGCGCCACAGAAAGGUGGUGCAGCCCUCCGACGUCCACUCUAAGAAAUUAUGGGAGUGCAGCCACAGGUAACAGAAGACGGUCUGGUUCUGUCGCGGUGCAUUUCAGAGAUGUCACUCAAGCUGAAGGGGAGGUAUGACUAUAUAUUUGACUAUAUACCUUAGCACCAGACUUAACUGAAUUAAAGGAUAUGCUUUGUUUGCAC